AUGACAUCCAUUCGAGCUGUAUUUAUAUUCCUGUGGCUGCAGCUGGACUUGGUGAAUGGAGAGAAUGUGGAGCAGCAUCCUUCAACCCUGAGUGUCCAGGAGGGAGACAGCGCUGUUAUCAAGUGUACUUAUUCAGACAGUGCCUCAAACUACUUCCCUUGGUAUAAGCAAGAACUUGGAAAAGGACCUCAGCUUAUUAUAGACAUUCGUUCAAAUGUGGGCGAAAAGAAAGACCAACGAAUUGCUGUUACAUUGAACAAGACAGCCAAACAUUUCUCCCUGCACAUCACAGAGACCCAACCUGAAGACUCGGCUGUCUACUUCUGUGCAGCAAGUA